rnacentral:lncRNA from 1 species
CUCUCGUGCCGAACCAGGGCGGGAAGUCCUUCCUGAAGUCUGCCCUGCGUGGGGCCUGCUGCCAGAAGCCUGGGCCGGAGGGGAGGGGCGAGGACGAAGUAGCGAACCGUCCGCUGGCUGUCUUAGAAGGAUGAAAAGUGAAUUCUGAGCCUGGCUGUGGGAGCUGCGAAAUCUGCUUGCCCAGAAUGGCAGACAAGAUCUUGGAGACGAGACGGUUUUAGGUCUGCAGUCAACCAGCUCUAUUUUGUCUCACCAGCACUUCACAUCCGGCUUACUACCUCCGGGCACUAUUCUAAGUAUGUUACAAAUACGAACUCAUUUUAUCUUCACAAUAUUUUUGGUCCUGCCUGUGCAGAUCCCUUUUGGACAGUGAGGGAAACUGAGGCACAGAGCGGAGAAGCUGCUUGCUCAAGGUCAUCAUUUGAACCCAUGUCGGAGUUAUCGUUCCU